CCUGCCUUAGCCCCACUGCGCCCCUGACCGGACUUUUAGCCGCCUAUUCAAAUCUCCCGGGUGGGUGUCAGUAGCCACCAGGCGAUCGAUGCCGAUUCCGGUAGACUACCGGCCAAUCCGGGAGGGUUGGCAACCGUGUCCCUCACAGAAAGCCAUUCGGGAGUGACCCUCUCCCCCCCCCCCCACACACACAGCAGGGCUGGAUGCAAUACUGACCUAUUGGACAGGCUAAGCAGGGCCGUCCUUCCCUGGCCUAAAAAGAGGGUGCCACAGUCAUCCAAGCAUGCUGAACUUCCAAGGACAUUGCCAAUAGAAUUUUCAUUGUUGUUAAAAUUUUGUUUUACCCACAGAAAAAUAAUAAGAAUCCUUAGUUUGAGAGUGAAAUCGAUUCACAUCCUGAAAGGUCUCCAUGCAGACUGCAUGCUGGUUUAUUAUGGUAGCAUUGGGCGUAGAGGCACCAGUUGGUUGCUGUAGGGGUGCCCCUGGAUGCGCUGGUUUGGUAUUGUAGUGUUGGUCAUGGUGGCACCACCUUGCUGUUCUGGCAGUGAUGCUCAUGGGUUCACGGGCUUGUUAGUGUGGGGUUGUUGGCAAAGAUUUUUAGAAAUAGAAUUGAUAAGAUUGAAGCAUGUUUUAAGCAGUCAUGUUAAGAAUUGCAUGGACAUUGCAAACAAACGCAAGAAAACAAGUUGGGGUGAAUUGUGUAUCUAACAUCUCUGUGUGUGUGUGUGUGUGUGUAUAUAUACAUAUAUAUACAUAUAUAUGCCAAUUUACAGUAGGUGAGGCUCUUGUCCAAUGUCUAUUAAAAUCUGGCAGUGACAUGAAUAUAUAUAUUCAUUCACUGCCAGAUUUUAAUAGACAUUGGACAAGAGCCUCACCUACUGUAAAUUGGCAUAACCUCAGAGAAAUACCCUUUCCAGGAUCAAGACUUAGCUGAGGUUCUGGCUCCUCGUUUCCAAAUACUUCUUGUUAGCACUGGAGUGGGAAGUAUACUUAGUGGUUUUAGAAUUCUUUUUAUUUUUGCUAAGACACUCUAAAAUGAGAAUGUUUGGUUUUUAUGACUUGCAGAAUUUUGCUUUUUGAUAUUUUAUAGUCCCUGUGGUCUGAGGUACUUUUAAUUUUUGAAGUGCUCUGGAAUGAUUUGUAAGAUGAUGUUAAUAACCUCUAAUUUCAGUCUGUUUUGGAUAAGCCUAGAAUUUCUGGUUUUCUCUUAGCAGAAUUAUCGGUGCCUUAAGCAUUUACAAAACACACCACUGAUGUGGGAAUUAAAAAAAUUAAUUCCAAAUUGUAGAUUAAAUUAUUUAAGCUAUCAGACUUAAGGCUUGUGCAGAAGAGUUUUCCAGGACUGGUGUGUUUUCUAUUAGAGUUGAUAUCUAUCUGUCAAAUGAUCCUUUUGAUUUUCAAACUCUUAGACUAAAUAGUUGAGUAAUACUUGCCUUCCUCCCCCACCCCACCCCACCCCACCCCUUUUGCCUCCCUUUUCCUUAGGAAAACACUCUUUUUAUUGUUAACUAAAAAUCUUGGACUCCUUCCAGAAAAUUAAUGUUCCUUUCUUUGAAAGUACAGAAAAAGUCAGUUUCAUAAUGUAGUGUAUGUUAAGGAGAACUCCUGUUAUAAAUGCCUGCUGGAUCCUGUGCGCAUCUGGAUUGGUUUGUUGGGGGAAUUUCUGCCUUUCAAAGGAGUUGGCAUACAGGCGACAAUGCUUAUCUCCCAGGCUUGAGAAUGGGAAGUCCUGUCAUUCAAAUCCAGAUGUACUGAGUGGGCUGCACACAUUUAUUCUUCCACUGGGCAGCAAAGGGUGAAAUACAGGGAGUUUAUUGACAUUAAUGUGCAUUCCUUCUUUCAUCUUCAAAGUGCGACAUCUUUAAACAUCUUUAGACAUUUUUAAAUCAGCAGGUCCAGAUAACUUGCAUCCAAGAAUUUUAAAAAUCUGGCUGAGGAGCACAUUGGACCAUUAACAUUGAUUUUCGAUCAAUCUUGGAGCAUUGGGGAGGUUCCAGAAGGUUGGAAGAAAGCUAAUAUUGUGCUAGUUUUUAAAAAAGGGUAAAUGGGAGACCUGGUUAAUUAUAGACCUCUCAACUUGAUAUUGAUCCCAGGCAACAUAAUGGAACGGUUGAUAUGGGACUCGAUUAAUAAAGAAUUAAAAGAGGUUAAUGUCAUUAAUACAAAUCAGCAUGGGUUUUUGGAAAAUAGAUCCUGUCAAGCCAAUGUAUAUUUUUUUAAUGAGAUUACAAAUUUGGUUGAUAAAGGCAAAAUAGUUGAUGUCAUAAACUAAGACUUCUGUAAGGUACUUGACUUGAUACCGCACACAUUUUGAUUAAAAAAUUAGAUGUAAAUUAACAUGGCACACAUUAAAUGGAUUAAAAACUGGCUAACUGAUAGGUCUCAAAAUGUAACUAUAAAUGGAGAAUUGUCAUCAAGCUGGUCUAUUUCCAGUGGGGUCUCAUGCAGGGAUGGUUCUUGGCCCUACACUUCAUUUAAUAUUUUAUCAAUGAUCUAGAAGAAUAAUAAAAUAAUCACUAAUAAAUUAGCAGAUGACACAAAAAUUAGGGGAGUGGUAAAUAAUGAAGAGGACAGGUCACUGGUUCAGAGUGGUCUGGAUUGCUUGGUAAACUGGGUGCAAGCGAACAGUAUGCAUUUUAAUACAGCUAAAUAUAAAUGCAUACAUUUAGGAACAAGAAUGUCAGUGUGAUGGGGGGCCUGCCCCACACUGGGCUCUAAGGGAUUAAAUAGAGCCCUAGGUAGGCUGCGUAGGAGGCAGCCAAUCAGAGAAGGGCUGAAGGGAGGAGCUAAUCAGGGUCAAGCAUUCCCAUAUAAAAAGGGAGCUGCAGAGCAGAGAGGAGUUCUCUGCUGGGAGUCCAGGGAGGAAGAUCUGUGUCUCUGGAAGGUUGAGAGAACUUGCCAGCACUCUGGACAGAGCUGUGCUGCUAGCAGGGACCAGGGGAGUUAGAGACAGCUCCUGGCUCACUGCUGAGGUUUGCAGGCUGAGGCCUGAGGCAAGGCAAGAGGAUGCUGGGGCACGAGGAAGUGGCCAGAAAAUUUGCUGCAGUAGCCACUAAGGGAAGUGGCUGAACAGUGGACUGCUGGGCCCCCAGAAGGGGAGAGCACAGUCUUUGGUACGUCCGGAGGGCUGUGUCACUGAAGAGGAUGCUGUGGUCCUUGGAGAGACGUGGGCCCUAGAUCAGGAGUGAGUGCGGCGAGGGCCCACCUGAAGAUCUAAUUCCCAUGACAGCCAGCGGGAGGCGCAAGAGUGUUCCAUCAGAACUGGGAAAAAUUACCCAAAUGCUAAGCAAAAUAUCUGGAAGCUAUGCAGGCAGAUUUUGAAAAGAAAUCUGCCAUUGCUUGACAGGGUUAGGCACUAUCCAGAUCGGGGCUUCCCAGAGCAGCCAGCACAACUGCAGUCCUAAUGCAAUCCGGAGGGGAAUGAACAAGCCACCAGCCUCCAUGAGUUCACAAGUCCAGUGACUGUGAGGAACCGUAUUUUUCAUUGAUGGGAAGGAAAUAGCCUCAUGUUCAAAGAAAACACAACAUUCUGCAAAGGGGGCUAGAGAGGAAAAAUACCCCAACCAUCACAUUAUAAGUUGACUGAGCUCCAGCCCUUGGCAUGUUCUCUGUCUCCAGUGAAGAAGCUAAUGGAAUAAGAAUGCCAAUACAGUAGACAUGGCAAGCUGUGUCCAGGGACAAUUUUUAAACUUGAUCCUAUUAGAAACUAACCGCUCAGUGGCUCAUUCUGUUUUUACAGCUAGGGGUUCUUUCUAGUUGUCAUGUUGCACACCGGCCCUGAAAGGCUUUUGGCAGGACCGCAUUCCUAUGAAAGGUAAACUGGACACACUGUAAAGAGCAAGGCAAGACGCUCAGUGCCUCAUGACAUUGCAUGAAACACAUCACAGCUGCUCACAUCUGUCGGUUCGGGCUGUGGCAAGGAGGAUCAGGCAGCACAGACGUACCUGUCCUGUGGAGGUGCAGCACAAAGCAGGGCCUAUCUGGGGGCUGUAAGGCCCAGCAGGUCUCAACCCUGGACCUACAGAGCUGCCAGGCAGUGGGGCAUCUCCAGGCUGCCACCCAGUCUGUGCUCCACUGCCCAUGAUCCGCUGAGAACACAGACCAGGGGAAGUCCCUCCUCAAGGGGUCUGAUAUGGGGCAGCCUGGUGGUUCCUGAUUGGCUCCCCGCCCUAUAUAAACGAAGGAGCAUUCCAGGAAGUCCAGGAAGCAGCAUGGAUCUCAAGUAGCUGCCAGGACCAUUCCUGCCCCUGGCUCCUGAGUGCCUGGCCUUGCCCUCAGCUUGAUUUGGACUUCGCCUUCCGCCUCAGCACCUGAAACUGAAUUCUGACCUUUGGUAUCAACCCCAGCCUGGAACCUGACUACGAGCACAGUCUACGACUUCCAGCCCCAGGUUCCCCUGCUUUGACCCUGGGUCUCGACUGCCCUUGCCAGGUUCCUGACAGGGCCUUGUUUGUUACAUCCUGCAGAGAAACUAAAUGUUAAUGCCAAGCAAACAGAAUGUGUCCCCGAAGGGAGAGGGUGAAAUGCCCUGCCAUCAGCUCACCUUCAGGGCACUGGUUCUUCUGCACUGUGCAUUUCCGGAGCUCUGUGGUGGCAGGACACACGGACACAUCUCCAGAGGGAGCCUGCAGAAUCUUCCGUGAUCGCUCUUCGUUGCCUUUCUUGAAGCCACACAGCUUCCUUUUCUUGGCACACGGGCCCCAGGGGCCCCACUCGCUCAGUUCACAUUGUGCUGCCAGACAGCAAGAGAGUCAGGAGGAAACUACUUUUCCCAAUGCCCCCGACAUGUCCCUGGAGUCCUUCCCCUCCCCAGUGCCACCGGCUGCCUGCUCCUCCCAGCAUCCCAGACAGAUGUCUGUCUCCCCCAGAGCUGCCUCUGGCGAGGUGCAAUACUCCCACGCACCCCAGCCCAGCCCGAGCUCUAGGGUGGAGCCGCCGGCAUUAUUCAGAGACUUAAACAAUGUGGAAAAAUCUAUUGUGAAGGGAAUUUUCUGGGCCUGUUGUGAGACACUUGGAGUCCAAACGCCAGUUCCGGGCUGCACCACACAGGGCUGGGGUGAUCAAGGCAGGGACUGCGUAACAAGUCAGUGUGCCUGAGAAGGCUCUGACUGCACCAGGCCUGAGCCAGAAGGUUCAGUGCAUCACUCCCGAGGGGACCGUUCCCCCCGGCCAGUUCUCUGCUCCACCUGCAGAGCAGAGUCCUGGAGGCCCCGCAGGGGAAUGGGAAGCCUCACUUCGAACAUGCUGAGCCUGGACCCUCAGAGCGCAUCAUAUCUGCCUCUCCUAGAACAAGUCACCACGGUCCCUUCCUGCUUUUUCUACUCGCUCUUGUCUCCUAGCCUCACAUGGCCUUUCCCUUUUGGCAACCCCAGAGGUGGGUCACUGCAGACCUCACCCACAUGAAGCUGGGUGCCAACAACGGGCAUGUCUGCACUUUUUGAUGUCUGCCUAACCCAAAUAACCCCAUGGCCAUGGUCUGCAUUCUGCUGCACCUCGCACACCUCCUGAAUGUCCCUCGUUUUGAGGGACUCCAACCCGCUUAGCCCCCAAGUUCCCCGCAUUCCACACAAACACGGUGCUCCCUCAUUUUCACUGCUGAAAAUUAUUUACUUUAGAAACAAAGACUGGCGAGACUGAGGAGCCAUUCACACAAGGAGGGGAGCCUGCCACAGUUUAAGUUUCCUGCAUGGAUAAUUUUUGUGUGUGCUCAUAUGGGGCCUUUGUCACCCACUGCACCCCCACAUCUGGACCUUUAGCAGGUCAGAGGUGUGCUCUCCCUGCCUGAGGCUGUUAUAUCCUUGAGUCCAUCAUUUAGAUCAUGAGUCUCAGCAGCAGGUGUUUUCGGAGAAGUAACGAAAAACAAUGAAUCGAGACAGUGUGUUGUAGUAUGCCAGAAGGUUUUACACCUCCAGAGGGUUAUCUGGCUGUACUUUCACUCAUUAGAAUGCUGCUGCAGCUAGCCUUGUCCCCUGCAGGGUUUAUUGACAUCUUCCAAACCACAACUAUGCUUUAAAGCAACCGACACAGAAAACAGAUCACGCAUUUUGCAACUAAAUAUUAAAUUGCCAAGGGCGGAGAGUUUCCUGCAGAGUUAAGCCCCUGACUGUUUGUUGUUGGUUUUUGGUUUUUUGCAGACGCAAAUAUGGCACCACUGAAGAACAAAUGAAGAGAAAGAUUCUUGUUUGCCUGGCUUUGCACAGCACAGCUGGGAUGCGGGGAGGGGGGUUCAGGUGCAUGUCUUACAGGGAAAAUCUGUCUCCAGGCAGGAAAGGUCACAUAUACACUCUGUGUUUCCUGGGAGGAAAGACUAUAGCUCCUCCAGAUUUACUGGGAUGUUCUCACAGGGAAGAGAAAGCUUUUCAACAAUGUCAGUUGGAAAUUCUUGUCUGUUGCCGAAUCCUUCAGGUACUUCCAGGUCAUCUAGCCCAGUGCUUCUCAAGCUAUCUGAUGGGGGGGACCGGCAAUUUUUUUUCCCAAUGUGCGUGCGGACCGGCAGCAGGUGGCUCGUGGACCGGCACGAUCCGCAGACCACCACUUUGAGUAGCACUACUCUAGAAUGCACCUGCCAAGCUGUUAAUUGUUCCAUUCACAUACUUGCUGGGCUACCCACUCUGGCACCCCAGCAUGUCACUGCUGUUCAUGGGACGUCACUGAAAUGCAGCAGGGUGAUGGAGGAGCAGCAGGGAAAGUGGGCAAGUAUUAAUACGCUAUUGCAUACAGACAGGCAGUACAAAUCUGAGCCUUCAGAAUGCUACAGGACCCGGCAGAAAAAUCAAUCACUCUAAUAGCUCUAAUGCCACUUACCAGGACUGCUGCACUCCAUGGUGCCAUUGGCAGCAGAGUAGCCAUCUGGGCAGGUGGAAUAACAUCUCCCUUUGUGCAAGUACAAACCUUCCUUACAUUUGGUGCAAAAGUUUCGGCUGAAACAGGCCUCACAGUUCUCAAUUUUGCAUUCUGGGGAAGAAAAAGGAAAAAAAACUAGCCACAUAGUUGAAUUCUACCCCAGGGCCAAAAUCAGCAGAUCCAUGGAUAUGAUCGAAAAGCAACUCCGUUAGGUUUCUGUGGCCUUUAUGUACAAAAAGUGGAAAGUGUGUAUUGCAGUCAAAUUACAUUUCAAGGCGGAGACUGGGCACCAUCUACUGGAGAGGGGAAAGGAAGAGUGGAGCUAUGCAAAGGGAGGACUAGAUACCCCACUAGAGAGCCCUCCUCGCCCACGGAAUCUGCAAACAGCCAGUGUAUGUCUCUGAGCACUCUGCCAGGCCUGGGUGGUGCUACCAAGAAGGAAACUGGUUUCCGUCUGCCAUUGCCCUUCUUGCAAGAUAGAGCCACUCUGCUGAAGUUAUCACAUAAUCAUCAUCAUCAGCCUAUGCUGGGUUAUAUCUUGGCAAUAUGCUUGCAAGAGGGUUGGGCUCCUGUUUAAUUUGACAGACAAUCAGCCAAAAUGGAAGAACACAAGGAGCUGAUCAGUUUCAGUUCCAGUUUCAGUCACUCCUUACGCAGCUCUAGUGUGGCUACAGAAGCUGGCUUUGGUGCCAGGUUCUAUGAAGCUGCUAAUGAAAUGACCCAGGAUUGUUUAUAGGUCCAACUCACUCACUGGUGUUUGAGUUGGCCCAGCCCCUUGCAAUGGAAGACAGACCCAGGCCAAAGACCCAUUUCAUUAUAGAUGGGCAGACGAAGGAAGAGGUAGCGUCUGUGUCAGUGGUUCCCCAGAUACCGCAUAAGAUCCGGAAAGAGCAUGCCCACCUCAAGAGGUCAGCUAUGACACCAGUGGGUUAGCAUCACUUCGACCCGGGGGUAAGCCAGACAAUUCACACAACAGAACAAGAAAUGCCCAAAUUAGAGACUGUCUCUAAUUCUUUCUGUUUGACAGUUCACCGCUUCAGCCUCCCCACCCCCCGCCCCGUGCCCAUCUUAUAAAGACCCAUGAUAGCACCCUGACCCUGGCUGAUGGGCCCGUGAGGACAUUUUGUCUGUCACUGGCUGAGGCUCUCCGUGGUUUAAGCGCAUUUUAUUCCCAACAUACGUUGGACCAGUCGUUUAGUUGGUGUAACUGGGGGUAGCUCCGUUGACUUGAGUAGAGUUGCACCAAUUUACACUCUUGCAGUAAUUCCAAGCUACAUUUCUGCACUUCCCACCUAAUUUCUGCAAUUUCCUGUUUCUAACAAGAAUGACUGCAGUCAGCUCCUAGCUUAGAUCCUGGGGACCCUGACCAAAGACAAAGAAGCCAAAAUGCAAGUCAAAAGCUGAGAGAAGGGGCUGAUGUCCAGACUAACUGAUGCCGGAUAGGCUUUUUAGGCCAUCAUUACGUGAAUGUCUACUGAUGUAUCUCUCUCUGUAGGACAAUCUGUGCAUGCUCUUUCCCACUUUAGAGAAACUCACUGCGCUACUUCUACUGACCCUGGCUUGGCAGGAGCUAUUAGGUGGCAUUGGGAAAGCUUAAGGCUCCUCGGCUCAUGCUGUUGCUUCUUAAUCUGUUUCAAAAAACCCUAUGGGACAUUGCAUUCGUGGGUGGAAACGCAGCCACCUCUGCAGGGGAGAGAAUUACAUUCCCAUCUCAGGUGCAAAACAGGAUAAAUCUCUCUUCUGCUCUCGCCUCAUUCAGGGCUGCAAGCAGCAAUUCACAAAGGGAUGCCUUUCUAUGGGUAUUCUCUGGGCAAGUCACUUUCCCUCUCUGGCCUGUUCCCCCAUCCAUAUAAUGGGGAUAUAACCACUUAUCCACACCCUGGGGGCAGGCAAGGUUACUCACUGCAAGUCCUGGAGUGAAGACCUAUAAGUGCAGAGCAUGGUUUUGUAUCUUUCUUUCUCCCAGGUCCUGGCACUUACUGAUGCAUUUGUUCAUGUCGGGAUGCGAACGCCGAAGUACCCCAGCGGACAGGAUGGCAGGCAGAUCCCGAUCUGUCGGAUGUCGUUCCUCUCCAGCAGUAUGAAGAGUUUGGGGAACAUUUCAGGCACCCGUUGAAACUCAGAGCACAGGUCACAGCCUUUCGCACAGCCCUGGCUCACCUCGGUACUGACUGAAAAGGCAAGAGAGAUACCCGCAGGUUAAACAAACACAUCGCAGAGCUGCAAGAUUGUCCAGGGAAACUGGCUGUAACAGCAGCAGCUUGCUACACGGCUCACUCUUGCGCUGGCUUUGAUCUGCUAUUCAGGACAGCAGGCCAGAUGUGGCUCCAGAAUGAACAUUUCAGACAGGAGUGUUCCCGAGCUCCAGCUUUAGAUCUGCCCAGGCUCUGUGUGAAACACAUGGCAGAGUUACUAGGUGUGACAUCGCGUAUGGAUGGUGCCUUGGCCUCCCAACAUGUGGACAAUAGGCGAACUGUAGAAGAAUUAUGAUUAAGACGGGAGAGGAGGCUGUUCCAGUGGGUGUCAACAGGCACAAAUCUGCCCAACAUGGGAGUUGUCAGAAAGAAGAGAUUACAGGAAAACCCUUCGCUAUGCGGUGUUCUGAGCUAACCAAUCUGUCUUCUGUUUAGUGAAAACCCGCCUCAUAUCAGCCUGUCAAACCCCAACCUUUCACCACCCCAAGCCAACCUUCACCAGAGCUGCACCUCCCUGGUCAAUGCAACCUCUACCAGUGAGAAUGUCAACCUGAAAAUGCAAGCCCAUCAUUAAUUGGUCAGGAUUCAAUGCUAAACUUCCAAUGGCUAACAGAGGAUGGGACACUCUGGGAGCCAAAAUAAGCCCCCUGAGAUGAGGGAAUCAGGCAGAGUCCUAUUGUCCCUCUAACCUGAUGUUCCUUCUAAGCAGACGUUACUGUUGCUAAGUCAGGGAUGGGGUGGAGAGGAUGGAGUGUGAGCACUGACACAUGCUCGGAGAUAUAAUGGUUUAAGUACAUGACUCUGGAAAACCCAGAUUCAAAUCCCAGCAGGAGAUAAACUGGGUCCACCUCUCCUUAAUGUUCAUGUGUCUUUAGGACAAAACUACUGGCUAAUUUGGCCGUUUCUGCUGAAGAGGAAAACCAGGACUUGGCAUAGCAAGAGCUGCUGCAGGUCGGGCUGCUGGUGGAUGAGCAGAGCUGGGGAGGAGAUGGGAAAUGGCAGAGCAUGCUGCAGCUCAGGGUGGAGGUACAUCAGCAGAGCUGGACAGGGACGCUUGGACAGGGUCUGCCUUGGCUCUCCUCCCUGUUGUAGCUUCUCAUUUGAAUUUGCCCCAAAGGCUCCCAUUUUCAUUGGGAUGACUCUGCCCGGGUUUUGGGUUGGAAUGUUCUCAGAGUCGCAAGACAUCCUUCCUGCGAGAAACAUGACCCAGCUCAAGCUGGCUCCAGAAGAACAUUUGAAAUCUCCAGUUCCAAAAGCCCCCAUAAAGAGAGCUGAGUUCUUACCAGCAAGCAGCCCUGUGGCUUUGGGCCUAAUAGCUCACGCUCAUCUCAUGGGAGAUGGCACAAAUGUUCCUGCAGCUUCGAGAUGGUUUACUGCUAUGGUGGAAAUGCUCCCUAGCACUGGCUCUUAGGUAAGAAUGGACCCUUUGCUGGCCAAUCAGCAGCAUCAUAGAAAAAAAUCCCUCUCUCAGGAGACCUGUCAUUAAUAUUUGAUGCAAUGAAUGAGCUCAUGGUCCAGCUUAAACGCUGCCCAGAGAAAAUGAGUCAAACCCAGAUAAAUAAUUGAUUGCUCCUGUGGCCAUUACAAGCGCUGUUGUCCUUUGUGGUUCAAGACACAUCUGUCCUGAGGCCUCUUCCAAGCCUGGCCUGCAUCUUCCUCAAUGGGACACAACCAUCUGUCCACUCAGCAAGAUUUAGGAAGCUCCUUGAGCUAAUGCAGCCCUGUAUUCUCAGGAAUCCCGGCUUCCCUGGUCAGCAUUGGCCUUCAUAUGCACUACUGUGAGAAAAACAUAUGUGGCCUUGAGAAGGUAAGUUUGCAAAACUCCUCUGUGUCCAACUUGCAAUACAAGGGAGAGAGACUUCAAGGAUUCCCUGUUCUGCUCAUUAUUCCUCUCCCACCUUCCAACCCAGGAGGGCUGCAUGCACAGCUCACGCCAGAGGCUAUCCCAUGAUGCUCCAGGACCAGCCCUCAGACCCCACGGUACUGAGUGCUAGAUAAAUACCCGGAUUAGAUAUUCAGAGAGACGGGCUCUCUCCUUCCCUGACCCCUUCCCCAGGCUGAGCAGGCUAGAAGAGAUGAACAAGGAGCAAGUGAUUUGAACUUGCAGCCCGGCAUUGCACAGCCACUAUUCUCAGGCCUCGUUUCAGAUGUAACUGCAGCAAUAUCUGGGACUAAUGCGACUGCUUAAUACCCAGAAGAGAUGGUGUCUCGCACUCUGUCGUGGUCCAUACAGAUGUAACGGUGGAUGGAAUCACGUGCCCAAAUCUACUUGGGUGGGGAGGGAGCGGGACUAUUGCACACCUGGUUUGGUUGCUCUGAGCCUGGAGAUAAAUAUCAUGAAACAACAGCAGCAAUUGGGCCAGCGUCCAAACCCUGUAAUAAACCCCGAAUAACCCCCACGCCCGACUCCCUCACCAAAGCACUUCUAUCGGCCCCACCCAGCGACUCCAUCUCCCACUCAGAAAUAACACCUGGCCUGGCUUUGGCUACCACUCCUAGAGCAGCUGCAGGGGAACGCGUCUCUGCAGGUCCCCGGCCACGCUCCUGAAGUGGGCUGGGAGCAUGUGCCUGCAGGCAGGCCGAAGUGGAGAGGGUCACAUGCCUGCCUCGACUUACUGCCUGGCUCCUGGAGCAACUCACUGAGUCCAGAUUCACACUCCCUCGUCCAUCUACAGCCAUGUACUUUACGGGGAGGUAGCCAGCUCAGCGAGGAGCAUCCUCGUGAGCAGGGUCCUGCCCAGAUAAGCUGGGCUCACAUGACUCCAGACUCCAAAAAGGGAAACCCUGAUGUGUCCAGAAAAAUGGAAACCAUCCGAAUAUCUCUCCACGCUGCUUGGAGCUGGUCACGUCCAAAACCUCCUAUAUAUGUCAAUUACAUCAGGCAACAGGGAGCUUUUAGUACCCCCUAACUGAGACCAGUUCUGAGGCCCUAAUCAGGCCAAGAAAAUGUCCACUUUCAUGUUUGAACAUCUUCUGCUUCUAAUUAUCAUACAAAACUCUGCUUUGUUUUGAAACUAACAUUUUUUGCAGGGCUAGGAAUGCAGGUUAUUUUUAUUAGUUAAUUAUGUAAGCAUUGUCUGUGUUUAUAGAACAUCUACAUCUUUUUUUAUUUUAAAUACUGCAUUUAUUAUACCUCAAAAGCAAGCACAGAACGACAGAAUCUUUAAAUUCCAGGCUAGUAACUAAGCGGCAAGGACUUGGAUUCGCCAAAGUAAAAGAAAAAACCCACGCUUGCUUCCAGAGCAAUUUGCAAACCCCUUAGAUCGAUUCAGUAACCCCUGUGCUCUGCCUUAUCAGAACCAUGCAGCUGCUGAUGGCAUUUGUUUGGGAUACAGACGUUGUUCUAAGCACAGAAAAUGUAACAGAAAUCGGAAGCAGAUUCCUGAUUCAACAAACAAAUUCUAAUACUGGUCAGGACUGAAUUCUUGCUAACUCUGAGACUUGGCCCCUCCCCUUUUAGGGCCAAGUUCCCCUUUGUAUUGGUUGCAGGGGCUCCCCACUGAGCUGCAUGAGAGGGAGCCAUAGGGGAGCACAUGGAGGCAGAAUCUGGCCCCUACCUGCAGAGAGGAGAUGCAGCUGAUUUCAUUCUGUCAUUGUACCUGCUCAGGCAGGACAGGAAUUUUGCACUGUUUUGUGAAACCCUUCCCUGUAUUUCGAGCAGCCCUGCCUAUCUGUCCAGGGAUGACUGUGCGACUAGGAUAGAGGUUCCCUUUAAGCAGGGUGACACCUCCCCUCUUCUUUCCCUGCAUCUCAGCAGAGCUGCACUGCCCACUUGGGCAGAGAACCACUUCAUUUUGACUCUCUUAGCAAUGAGCCACCCUCUGCCUGAUGUUCUGAUCCUGCUCUGGAGGGCGGCCAAAGAGCUUGCAGCCCAGCCUCGGGCAUACACGAGCUCCUCUCCCUGCGGUCCCUGAACGCAGUGCUCACUUCUCAGCCCACUUCUCAGGAGCCAGAUGCUGAGGUUUUUAUCAGCUCCUUCUCCCCAAGUCUUGUGUCUCAGAGGCAUGCUCACUAUCAGUACGUGUCACCAACUCGCCUCACGCCCAGAACAGUGAAUGAUGCACAGGAUCUAGUCCAAGAGGUGAAUAUAGUUGAACUGCUCAGUAAUAGUGACCAUAAUUUAAUUAAAUUUAACACCCUGGUGAGGGGGAAAUAACUCAGAAACCCACAACAUAGCAUUUAACUUCAAAAAGGGGAACUAGACAUAAAUGAGGAGGGCCAAGACUUACAAAGGGACCUCACAAACUGAGUGACUGAGCAACAAAAUGACAGAUAAAAUUCAAUGCU